AGAACUUAGCAGAGAUGCUUUGGUGCCUUCGGGAACUCUGAGACAGGUGCUGCAUGGCUGUCGUCAGCUCGUGUUGUGAAAUGUUGGGUUAAGUCCCGCAACGAGCGCAACCCUUAUCCUUUGUUGUCAGCGGUCCGGCCGGGAACUCAAAGGAGACUGCCAGUGAUAAACUGGGAGGAAGGUGGGGAUGACGUCAAGUCAUCAUGGCCCUUACGAGUAGGGCUACACACGUGCUACAAUGGCGCAUACAAAGAGAAGCGACCUCGCGAGAGCAAGCGGACCUCAUAAAGUGCGUCGUAGUCCGGAUUGGAGUCUGCAACUCGACUCCAUGAAGUCGGAAUCGCUAGUAAUCGUGGAUCAGAAUGCCACGGUGAAUACGUUCCCGGGCCUUGUACACACCGCCCGUCACACCAUGGGAGUGGGUUGCAAAAGAAGUAGGUAGCUUAACCUUCGGGAGGGCGCUUACCACUUUGUGAUUCAUGACUGGGGUGAAGUCGUAACAAGGUAAGCGUAGUGCU
rnacentral:rRNA from 1 species